UACGUAGGGUGCAAGCGUUAAUCGGAAUUACUGGGCGUAAAGCGUGCGCAGGCGGUGAUGUAAGACAGUUGUGAAAUCCCCGGGCUCAACCUGGGAACUGCAUCUGUGACUGCAUCGCUGGAGUGCGGCAGAGGGGGAUGGAAUUCCGCGUGUAGCAGUGAAAUGCGUAGAUAUGCGGAGGAACACCGAUGGCGAAGGCAAUCCCCUGGGCCGGUACUGACGCUGAGACGCGAAAGCGUGGGGAGCAAACAGG
rnacentral:rRNA from 1 species